rfam:Echinostoma caproni strain Egypt genome assembly, scaffold: ECPE_scaffold0004720
AGACCGCUGACGAGUCCCAAAACAGGACGAAACAGCUGUCCCGGUGC